rnacentral:tRNA from 1 species
GGUAGGGUAGCCUAAGGUUAGGCUGUAGGUUGUAGCCCUGAAGAUGGAGGUUCGAGUCCUCUCCCUAUUA